AACGAACGCUGGCGGCAGGCUUAACACAUGCAAGUCGAACGAUGUAGCAAUACAUAGUGGCGCACGGGUGAGUAACGCGUGGGAAUAUACCUUAUAGUGGGGAAUAACUUUGGGAAACUAAAGCUAAUACCGCAUACGCCCGAGAGGGGAAAGAUUUAUCACUAUAAGAUUAGCCCGCGUGAGAUUAGGUAGUUGGUGGGGUAAUGGCCUACCAAGCCUACGAUCUCUAGCUGGUCUGAGAGGAUGAUCAGCCACACUGGAACUGAGACACGGUCCAGACUCCUACGGGAGGCAGCAGUGGGGAAUAUUGGGCAAUGGAAGAAACUCUGACCCAGCCAUGGCGCGUGAAAUAUUGAGGCCUUAGGGGUGUAAAGUUCUUUCGCCGAUGAAGAUAAUGACGGUAGUCGGAGAAGAAGCCCCGGCUAACUUCGUGCCAGCAGCCGCCGUAA
rnacentral:rRNA from 1 species